rnacentral:rRNA from 1 species
CGCGUGGGAACCUACCUUGUGGUACGGAACAACCAAGGGAAACUUUGGCUAAUACCGUAUGAGCCCGAGAGGGGAAAGAUUUAUCGCCAUGAGAUGGGCCCGCGUAGGAUUAGCUAGUUGGUGAGGUAAUGGCUCGCCAAGGCGACGAUCCUUAGCUGGUCUGAGAGGAUGACCAGCCACACUGGGACUGAGACACGGCCCAGACUCCUACGGGAGGCAGCAGUGGGGAAUAUUGGACAAUGGGCGCAAGCCUGAUCCAGCCAUGCCGCGUGUGUGAUGAAGGCCUUAGGGUUGUAAAGC